rnacentral:lncRNA from 1 species
UUUUUUUUUUAACAUAAGUUUCUUUAUAAUCUGUAUAUAAUUUUUAAAGGUUUCCAUUUUUAUCAGGAAAAUGCACCUUGUGAAGUUAAUGAGGUAAAUCAAAUGUAGCCUCUUCACACAAGCCUCAUGGAUAUGCUAUUAGUUUUUAUAUUUUGGGUUUAUCCUUAGUUUAGAUGUGUAGUUUUAGAAGCCACAACUACAUAACUAUAAGAAUGCAGAAUAGAAUAGAAAUUGUUUUUUGUCAAAGAAACAAGAUUUUGCAAACCUAAAAAUUAAUUCUUUUAUGUUUGCUUGGCAGUCUGAUGGUUAUAGGAUUCUAAAGUGAAGGAAGGGCCAGAGAGAUGAUUCAGUCAGUAAAGUGCUUGUCACCUAAUCAUGAGGACCUGAGUUCAUGUACACUCAAGACUCAUGUAAAAACCUGGCCUCAGUGCCAUUUGCUUGUAAUACCAUCAUUGGUGAGAUGGAGACAGGAAGGCCCCGCAGGAUAGUGGAAUAAUCAGUGAGCCUCCGGUUCAGAAGACCGUUAUCUCAAAAACUCAGGUAGAACUCUAUUGAGGAAGACACCCAGUGCCAACCUCUGGCCAACCACAUAUCACAUGCACAAAACUCUAAAUCUAAAUAAAAAUCAUUUUAAUUUAGAAAUUUGAAGAUAUUACUCUUGUCUUAUGGCUUCCAAUAUUGUAGCUGAGAAAUCACAAAAGAUACAGGAUUUUUAUAAAUUUUCUUUCUAAUAAUUCAGAAUAAUCUAAUUUGAGUUUUGUUUGGAGAUUUCUACAGAUUAAUACUGAUACUCAUCUUUUCUGUCUGGAGGCAUCUCAUUCUAGGGAAUGUUCUUACAUGAUUUUCACAAUUUCAUCACUUUUUUGGAUUUGGUUGUUCAUAAGAUUUUCAAGGGGAGCUUCCUUUAUGGAAACCCUAUUGGGUUUCUCGUUUUGUUUUGUUUUCCCCCAAUUUCUUCCCCUACCCCUUCUCUCUCUCAGCUUUUGGAGACAAGAUUUCUCUGUGUAACCUUAACUGUCCUGGAGCUCUGUAGAACAGGUUGGCCUUGAUCCACCUGCCUUAGCCUUACAGUACUGACUGGGAUUAAAGGCCUGCACCACCACUGCCCAGCCUUCUUCCUGAUUUCUGUCAGAUCACCUUUACAUUGUACUUCUAGAAUUUUUCGUAAAUAUUAUUUGUAGUGAAUUAUGCAAGUGUUUUAAAUUCAACUAUCAAAUUUUUAAUUUCCAAGGACCUGCUUUUACAAGCUUCUUUCUCUCCUUAAUGACCUCGAAUGUGAUGUUUGACAUUUUCUAAAGCAAAGACAUAUCUGUUCUGUGUGAAGGCUGAUGCUAACACAGAAUAAAGAAGUCAAACUUGACAGUAGAUACCCACCACCCAUGCAUUUUCUUUUUACCUAGUUUGCUAAUGUAGAGUCCUUGCAUUGCUAAACCAUACCUGAAAAUCCAAAGAGAGGAUUUUAUUUAAGCUUGUUUAUUUUGCCGUGCUGGGGAUUGACCUCAAUAUAGAGUAGGCAGCCACUGUAACAUUGCUACACCCCCAGCCCAGUUUGUGAACAUUUUGAUAAAGUCAUAGUCUUUUUUUUUUUUUAAGGUUAUAUUGGACAUGGUAAUGUCUAUUAUCUCAGCACUCAGGAGCCCCUGUCUCCACAAGAAAGCUGUAACCUGUAACAGAGUUGUAAUUUAAAGCUUCUACAACAGUAUGCUAUUUACUAUAAAUUGUAAUGUGGGAUACUUAAAAAAAAUUUUUUUUCAAGAUACAUUAAGUUCUGAAAGAUUAGAAACAAAGGGUUAAGAAAAGAUAUCUAAACACACACACACAAAAAAGAAAGUAGAUUUAGUUAUAGCAUAUAAAGCAGAAAAAACAAAAACAUUAGUUAUGGUAAAUACAGUUUUAUUUGCUAGUCAGUUACAGCAUGUUUUAGAACUACACAAAACAGCCUAGUGUGGAGGCCCAUGUCUUAAUCACAACACUUCCAUUACUCUGGAGUCAGAGGCGAGAUGAUUUCUCUCAGUUCUAGGACUACCAGAGGUACAUAGAGAAAAUUCAUCUGAAAACAAAAAGAACCAAAAUAAAUAAAAUAAAAACACAUAAAACAAAAUGGAUAAAAAUGACAUGUUUAUUAUUAUGAUAGGUGAUUUUGACAUAUUUCUUCUACUUAUUGAAGAUCAAGUAGCAGAAAAGUGGAGACUACAAAUUACUUCAGAGCUGGGCAUGGUAAUGCUCAGGCUCAAAAACCAACAAGUAACAAAACUCUUAAAAACUAAAAACCAUUUAUUUGAUGUAAUAUACAUGCAUGAGUUGAGUGUUCUACUUAAUGUUAGAAAAACAAAUCCAAAGAAAAUAGAAUUAGUAAAGCUGUAAGAGUCAAAUUAAUGAACUAGGAAUGAUUGCAUAGGAGAGAAUUAAAAG